rnacentral:misc_RNA from 1 species
GAUAUUGUGAUGGAGCCUCAUUUUCUGGUGAUGCUAAGUUCUAUAAUGGGACAUCAUUGCUUUAUUUCAGAGGGCAAAGAAUUUGGCAAGCUAUUAUUCUUGAUCUUCUCCCAAAAGGUCUGGGGCACGCAAAGAAGGCUAUGCUUUCUGGCUGCUCUGCUGGUGGUCUGGCAACCUUUUUACACUGUGACAACUUCACCAGUUAUCUACCAAAUAAUGCCAGUGUGAAGUGCUUGAGU